CAAGCCCACCUGUGCCUGUGUGAAAGCACCUUAAAAAAGAGCCACCGCGAGCGACAGGAAAUCAAGAAAACCAAACGAGUGUUGCUAGUUCAGGGUAACGCUCUCAGUUGGCACAACCCAAAGAUUUGAAUUUGUGGGGAAACUGACAUAUCAGUCUUCAGCAUGGAAUGACGACUAGUAAUAAUGUCCACCACCCUUGUUAAAGGCUUUGUCCUGCUUCUAAACUUUUUAUUUUUAUCUUAUUUUUUUUUUUACAGUCAUGCCGCAUAUGCGGAGCUGGACAUUUUAAAGAAGCCCUGCAGCCAAAAGCAGUGGAGAACGUGCCAAACUCACUCAGAAACGCUCUUCUGUUUACCACGUGAAAGGGGCUAUUCAUAAAGACUUAUACAUAUAUAAAUAUAUAGUCUUAAUUAAAAGUCGUGUAACUUGAGAUGUACUUGUGAACAUUUGAGAUUUACGUCAGGUUUAGAGUUUGUUUAUUUAUUUAUUUAUUUAUUUCACUGGAGUGUGUUUGUUUUUCCUCUUACUCUCGUCUGUUUUGUGACUCAUGAGAUUCAGAGGCAACGUGCUUUGCUAAGAAGAAACAGUUUUUCUGUAAGUGACAUUACCAAUAAGGUUAGUAUUGGGGAGAAGAAAAAAAAACGGCCCCAGUUUCCUACAAUUGUAAUCUCUGUGGUGUGUAAGUGUUUGUGUAUUGUCACAUCCUCAUGGAGAAGUCCCAUACAAUUUUUAAAAAUUCAAGCACAAAAAAAACACCCAAAGCUGAGGACACGUCAGCGGCAACUGAAAACGAUUGUCGUCAUGGAUACUAGCAGACUUUUGAAGCACAACGUGUUCCCCUCACUGCUGCUGCCACUCUGAGGGCCGCUGCCCCAUUGGCUGAUAUCCGGAGUCCUAACAGAUUGAUGUUUUUAGCAAUCAGUGAAGUUGAGGAGUGAAUUAGUAUUAUUAGUUUAAUUUUUCCCCUCUUAUAAUGGGGAUUUGGUUUUGCUAGCUGUAACUGUUCUCGUGCCCGGAGUCGGGUAUGUUUUUAGUGCAGCCCUUUUUCUGUGUGGUGUACAGCUAUGUGUGGUGUUCACUGUGGGCACCUAGUCUUGUGUUGUGUCUCAGUGGUGUCGUGUGCUGUACGUUCUCAUCUUAAUUGUCCGUCGGCAUGUCGCUCGUGUCUCCCCACCCCCACCCCAAUCCCUGAGACUCCCAACCCCACCCCAUCCCUCUCAUUCCCUUUCUCUUUCCCCCAUGUUGCAUUCAGUGUUAAGUGUUUUAGGUGAUGUGUGUACGUGUUUACCCCCCCUUUCCCCUCUUCCCCCCAUUCUGCAAAGAUAAUCGUUUCUGAUUUUCUUUUUUUUCCUCCUCUGUGUUUCUCCCUCUCUCCUCUUUUCUGUUGUGGCUUUAACCUCAGUUUGUUCUCCCUGUGUUUCUUUUUGUUUUUAUUCUAGAUCUCUCCGUGCCCGUUUGUUCAUCGCUUGCCUAGCAUGUCGAUGUGACGUCAAAAGUUCAUCGUCCAGUCCGUUGUCCUCUGCGCUUCUCUGACGCUUGAAAUUUCACCUUUGACCCCUUUUUUGUUUAACUUUUGACGCUUAUUAAUUAUAAUAGUUUUUUGUUUGUGGAUUUUGUGUGUUCAUCUAUGUUGUUGUUUGUGCUGCCAAGGUGCAUUAGAAAGACUGCUAACUCUAUUAAAAAUGUAUAAAGUUAUAUGAGUAUUGUUAAGAGCAAAAAAAAAUAUCUAUUUUUCUAGAACUUCCGAACAUAACCACUAAAUUUUGCAAAAGCGUUUUAUUUUCAUUUUGUCACUUUGAAUUACCUUAAUAGUUUUUUCUUCCGUUUUCUUUUCUUUUAGUACUCAUUUCCAAGCAGUCUUUCCAGUGCCCUGUAUUUUUUUUGUUUCUGUGGUGUCUAAAAGCAGCCAAUCAAUUUAUAGAAUCACCUUUGUGGGUGUGUGUGUUUUGUAUGGGUGUGUUUUUUUCCUCUAUCUCUCCACUUGUUUGUUCUAAAAGAAAGAAAACCUUUUUUAGGAUGUCUUUUUGGUCACAUUUUGCUGAUUCUGAGGGUGAUGUUGUAAUUUUGUGCUAGGUUAGUUGGCAUGGUGUAAUUUGGGAGUUUCCUAUUAACAAGAGUGGGAUCUACACUGCACACAUGACUUGCCUUUUCCUUUCCUCCAUGUGUCGAGCCAUCACUGGCACAUAAUGUUCUUUAUUUUCUUCUUGUGUGAAGCUCACCAUUAGUUUGCAUUUAAAGCACAGAACACAGCACAGUUGAGUUCUUUGUCACUGUUAGCGAAGUAUAUCCGCGAUAUCUAGCAUGCAUGUUUUUUUUUCUUCUCGUAACUGCACUGAAAACUUCAGCAAAAUGUGAUUUUAGUUAAUUUUUUUUAUUUAUUAAUUUUUUUUCAAAAUCUAAACAAAUAAACUAGUGCCAAACGUUUUGCACGUUCCUGUUGGUCACAUUUUUCCUCUCAUGUCGUCACCUGAGCAGUUCCACUGGGUGAGAGAUUGCAGUGAGUUUUACUGUGAUGUGACCGAUCGAAACAGGCAGGCAAUUCAACCCUGUGUGUGUGUGUGUGUGUGUGUGAGUGCGAGAGUGUGUGUUUAAACUCUUGUCCAACGCUCACCCAAAACCACCUCCACCCCCAUAAAGAGGAGUGUGUUUUUAGUUUUGUUUUGUGCUGUGACUUUUUGAAGUGAAGUAUUUGUAUCCUUAUUAUGGUGUGUUCAUUUUUUUUUCUCUAAAAGAUGUGCCUGUGGAGUCUUUCGACCAAAACACACUACUAAUAAUAGCACCAUUUCACCAACACACGUCCUUAUAACGUCUGCAACCAGUUUACAAUUUACUUUCCCAGGAUUCACUCGAUGGCCUUCUAUAUUAGCGAAAUGAGAUUUCAGUUCAGGUGUAUGUAUAUCAGUUUUUCUUCAAUUGAGACUCGAAUCAUGUCAUGACUUUUUUGACUGGUUUAACUGCCACUUUUUUAAGUCAUGCUAUCUGCAGCAAUCAGCUAAUCACUCGACUAAGUCAAGUCUCCCACCUCCUAGUAGUCUUAACACAUUCCCAUAUCCCUGUUAGUACUCAGUGGUCCAGUGUCCGACACUGAUGCAGUUGCCACAGUAAAAUGAGCCGUUGCAGCUUCACAUCACCGAUCAUUGUCAAUUCCACAGCCACUCUUUGCAACUUUUAUUUCUUUUUGUUUGUUUUUUUGUUUUUUUUUACUACUUGUCAUUUCAUCACAGUUGUGUCCUGAAACUGGCAAACAUCUUUUAUUUCUCCUUUUUCUUUUGGACAUCCCACAAGUCAACAAACCUUCUCAUUCGGGAUAGAUGUGGAAGACUUGAGUUGCACGUGUGACAGUGAUGGCAAGCUUUUGUUGUACUGAUAAUUGGAUUUUUAGAUCUUUUCAGUUUAUUUUCAGGUUUUCCUGAUGCUUUUUCUGACUAUAAAUAACCUGUGGGAUUUUUUUUUUUUUUUAUCAUUACUAUUACUGGUACAAAGUGAUUGUAUUUAACGGUAGAAUUUGUACAGUUUUUGCCUUUUCUACUAGGACAAUGUUUCAAAAUGUGAAAUUUAAAUUCAGUUUAGUGAAGCCAUGUAGAUCUUGUCACCAUGACCAAAUUUACGUCUGUACCAUAGAUAAACAAAAAGAAAAACUUAAUUUAAAGAAAUAAUCAAAUUCUGUUAAAUUCAAUUACAAUCUGGUGUCUCUGUUGUUUUUAAGUUGUGUGAUUUUGAUGUGGCAAAUAGAGAAGGAUGGAUUCAUUAGUUGGCCAACAAAAACCAUUUGCUUUUUAAUGUUUUCUGUUGAGACAUUUUUUAUUUUUGAAUGGGAUGAGACGGUUAUCAGAUUUCACAUGGAUGUCUCCACAGGACUACAGCUAAGUGCACACCCAACAAAGCAGUACUUUUGUAAACCAAGUGCGUGAUUCCUUUUUGGUCAAUUUGUUUAUGUACUAUUAAACUGUUUGAGAAAAUCCACAA
ensembl:lncRNA